rnacentral:tRNA from 1 species
CUUGUAGCUCAGUUGGUAGAGCAUCUGACUCUUAAUCAGAGGGUCCAGGGUUCGAACCCCUGCA